rnacentral:tRNA from 1 species
UCCGCUUUUUGUUUUGGUGAAAUUACAUUUGGCGAAUGCAGAAAAAGUGAAAAAAAGUUUCAUCGGUUCUAUUCUAAAAGGCGAAA